UACGAACUGUGCGAACGUUAUUCGGAAUCACUGGGCUUACAGGGUGCGUAGGCGGCUAUUCAGGUCAGGUGUGAAAGCCCCCGGCUCAACCGGGGAACUGCGCUUGAAACCGAGUGGCUCGAGUCAGCUAGAGGUACACGGAACUUCCAGUGGAGUGGUGAAAUGUGUUGAUAUUGGAAGGAACACCGGAGGCGAAAGCGGUGUACUGGGGCUGGUCUGACGCUGAGGCACGAAAGCCAGGGGAGCGAACGGG
rnacentral:rRNA from 1 species